CUCAAGUUGUUCAUAUGUCAGGCCAGUUGCAAUUUGAGGGUCCACUGUAUUAACAUUUUCUCAAGUCUGGACAAUCAACAACACUAUAUAAAUCAAGCCUGAACUUGUCGUUUUCCAAUUUCCACGGAGUAAAUCCCUCUGCUACAGUGACCUUCAAAUCAGCAGCACAGCGUCUCUGACGUACAGCUGAAAAACAUAUACGACAGCCGCUAUUAUAUAACAUUCCUGCCGUGCAGACACGAAAAGCUUGCACGACUCCAAGAGUAUAGCUAAUACCAAAAGACAGUAAGAUCAUCAGGAAGUGACAGCGGAGCUUUUUAUUACUAUUGCUUUUGAGUAUAAUUUAUUUAAUUAUAAGUAGAUAGAAAUAAAUUUUUUCAGUGGCUGGUGAACAGCCAGUUCACACAUUCUUCUUUCUUUGCAGUGCUGGGGACCAAACCCAGGGCCUUCUGCAUGCUAGGUAAGUGCUCUACCACUGAGCUAUACACUCCUGGCCCCUAGUCCAGGAAUCUCUGAGAAUUUCCUGUCUUUUGCACAUGGGUAGGCACUGGGUCUGCUCACCGCUGCCUUGUGGUGCCUGUGCCACACUCUGUCAUUGCUCUAACCUACGUGCACCUGUCCUGUCCAACUCCUUUUCAGCCACAGACCCAGCCCUGCAUCUCCCGGUUCAGGAAGCCUUCCCCGAAACCUCUCUCUCUGAGACAUGCCCAGGCUUCGCCACUCAGACGGUGUCCAAUACCGGCGUGGACAUUACAUUUGUGAAGACAGGGCUGUUGCGUUUUCAGGCUCCCUGGCACAGGCUCACGGGAGGCCAGCACUGAAUGCACGCUGAGUGGCCUCCAGCCCCAAGAGGACUCCCCGGGCUUGUGCUCUCUGGCGGUGCAGCACUUCCAGAGAGGUCUCACUUCAUUUCUACUGGCUCUCAGGCUGUGCUUCCCGCCGUGUGCCCCUUGCCCCUGGAUGGAGAAACAGCUCCACCUUUCCUCUCGCCAGCCACCAGCUUCGGCUCCUGCUGCACGACUGAAUCCCUAUGCCGUGCUCACCUAGGAUGGCUUCUGCGGUUGUUUGAAACCCUAGAGAGUUUUGUCUUUGCAGAUGGCCUCGAGCCGGUCCUCUCACCCUCUCACCGGUGCUAAAGAUCAUCUGUGUUCCGCCCCAAAGACACGGCCGUGUCAGAAGUAUCGCUGCAGCACCACGUUACACCACACAGGAGCUGAGCUGCUUCCUCUGGGCGUCUCCACCCUGUCGGGGAGUCUGGCCCCUCUUGAAGGAACUUUGCACCUGUCCAAGAGCCCUCACUUUGAGGGCAGCUUGCAAAGCUGAGGUUUACCCCAUCUGCCUCCCGCCCUGCCCAGGCCCUGGGAAAAUAGAAUCACAUGAAGAUAUUCAGGUUCCAGGGUUAGCAUUUGUCGCCACUUCGGAGGAAGGUCGGGCUGCUUGUGUGUGUCCCUGCCUCCUGGUCCCUGGCAUAGCCCUGCAGACCAUACCCAGAGCCCCGCUUUCCUUGCCCUGACCACAAGCCUCCCUCUGCAGAGAUGUUUUGUCCCAACACUCAGGGAUGCUGGACGCAUAACAGCUUCUGGUUAAAAAUGUAUCUGUCUGCUAUAAGCCUGUGAAUGGGUCUACUCAGUGUGAUCAAAGACUAUGGUGGACAUUUAAAUAAAUUAAAUCUACUACAGUAAAAGACAUUGCCAUUCACCCCCUCCAGGUGCUCACCCUUGCUCUGAACACGCUCAUCCUGUGAUCCUUGCCAUCUUCUGGAGUAGCUCUGGAUGUCCUCCCUUGGGGGUAUCUUUACUUGUGCAGUUGUGGCUGCUGCGGUGUCCAGAAUCCGUUCAAAACCCUUGCCUUCCGUGGUCAUUUUGAUUUCAGGAAGGUGCCAGAGAUCGCGGGGUUGCCAGAUCCAGUGAGUAAAGAGGACACAGGAGUGCUUCCAUGAGCCUGCCUUUCUGGGGGGCGGCAGCCAGCAGCAGCGGCUUCAUUGUGUUUUCGGUCACACCUUGCAGAGAUGCGAGCCGAAGAACACUUCCUGGACCGCUUUGAACAGUGGUGAGGAUGGUGGG
rnacentral:lncRNA from 1 species